rnacentral:rRNA from 1 species
UACGUAGGUGGCGAGCGUUGUCCGGAUUUAUUGGGCGUAAAGAGCUCGUAGGCGGUUUGUCGCGUCGUUCGUGAAAACUCACAGCUUAACUGUGAGCUUGCGGUCGAUACGGGCAGGCUAGAGUUCGGUAGGGGAGACUGGAAUUCCUGGUGUAGCGGUGAAAUGCGCAGAUAUCAGGAGGAACACCGGUGGCGAAGGCGGGUCUCUGGGCCGAUACUGACGCUGAGGAGCGAAAGCGUGGGGAGCGAACAGG